CUGGCAGCGGCCGCCGGUGCAGGUCACCUUGCAGAUGGUGGGAGUGAAGACCACCUUGAUCCGGCCAGUGUGGUUACCCGCUGACCGGCACCACAGCAGGGACAGGAGGAGAGGGAGGAGAGAAUUCACAGAGCAAGCUGAUCCAGGACCAAAUUCCUAUCGGACAUGUCAAUAGCGCUAAAUGUGAGGCAAGCAAGAAACGGCUUCUUCACAGCUACACAUCCGCUGGGAGACCUGUCGUGACCUGAAGUAAGAGCGGAGCCUGAUUUUCUCCGAUCUCUAGCAAUGUGGUCAGGUCCCGUUUUCUCAAUAAACUUCAAAUGAAUUCAUUUAAA